UGGGUUAGGGUAAACUGUUAAGAUUUAAACUUACUCAUUUUACCUUCCACCAUGGGGCUUGCAACCGUCACUUGUGUCUUGAGCAGUUAAAAGAUAGAACGGUAUAGUCAAGCGCCAUGUCUCUUGUUCUUUGAUUAACUAUAGCUCUGGAUUUUUUGCAGAUUUUCAAAUAAAACUCAGAGACUCCUUGUAUGACUCUCUCUAGUCUCUCUUUUGUGGUAUUUCUGGAUCCUUACCAAGGCAGUAAUGGUGUAUGCCUUCUCUCAAAGUAUGUGGUAUUUUUGGUAUGAGGCAUAGUGGUAUUGCCUUCUCUCUCACCCUACUCUAAUAAGAUUUUGAUAUCUGGAGCUCAUAGGUGGGAGACAGCUAAUAUAUACUUACAAGAGACUUAGUGCAUAGUGAAACCAUGGAUCCAGAAGAACAAGUCAAUAAGUCAAAUCAAGAUGUGCAUGUGUGGCGAAUGAAUGGUGAUAAUGGUGAAAAUAAUGGUGAAUGUCUAAUUCUACUUUUGCUCUUUUGAGGGGGUACAUACCUUUCUUGCACUUGAAGCUUUUGAGGGGAAUGAGACGCUCUAUAUUUUAUUUUUCUUUUCUCUCAGGUGGGUAUCUUGUACCCCUAAUUCUACUGUCGGACACUUGUCCAUUUUUACCUCUCGUCUCACUUUUUCUAUUUUUUUUCGAGGUUUCGGGCACUUGCCCCUUUUUAUUUUCUCGUAUGUAUGAAACGCUCAAGAUGUGUACUUCUAGAGUAGAAGCAGCAUGUAUGAGUGAACGUGCAAGUGAAUCUUGAUUUUAACCGCAUGAUAAGCUCCUAAGGGUCUACACAGCUUGACCACACUCAAUGCUCAUAAGGAGUAAAAAGUAAAUGUAUGGUUCAGUCUAAUAAGCUUGUAUAUAUGGAUGUGGUAGGAUUUUGAACUCUCAUCAUACAGGAACUCAUCAUGCAACAUUUUAAAGAUUUUAAAAAGAUAAAAUUCUCCAGAAUUCUAGUAUCUCUAGGAACAGAUAAACAGCAGCUCAACCUUCCCAUAUCAUAUCUGUUAACGACUUAGACUUUUGAUCAGGUACUCUUCCCGCAAAUUCAGGUUUAGAGCAAGCUUUAAAUUAUAACAGUUAUGCCUAAACUUGAGAGAGAGCUCAAACUUAAAAACUAGGUACUUGGCAAAGCAACUAUUCAUCAUAUCCAGGUAAGAGUUUAUCAUUGAAGUUCAGUUUGGCAUAGACACUUUAUUUAUUUAUUUAGCAAAGUAAGCAAAGAUAUAUAUAAGCACAAAAUGUUUAAUUAGGUUUUUAUGAUUAUGCAUUUUUUAUUAUUUGAGUAAAGUAUAAAUGUGAGUAGAAGCACUUAGCUGGAUAAAUGGGGGUGCUCUCCCCCAAGCUGGAUUUUAACGUAAUUUCUUCUGAUGUAGCUAGGAGGUGGCGUAGGUGUAUUUGAAUGUUGGCGGCACCCUAAUAGCGAUUAGGAUAUCCUCCGUCUGCUAGUCUUCCUUGAUCUUUGAAUUCUGUGGAGCUCAAAUAGACAAAAAAAUUUUGUGGAACUGGUUAAGUGUUAGCAUAAAAUCUCUUAGCCUUUAUCAUGUUGAGCUUUCUCUAAUAAAUAUUACUCUCUUUAGUAGGAUCAAAAAUUUAUUUUUAUAUUUUCAUUUUUAUAGGACAAGAAUAUAUUUAUUUUAUUUUUACGCCACCACAGUGAAUGGGUUUUAUGCCACGAGCAUACUCACAUGGGGCUUACUAUUUUUAACAUUUUUAUUUUCUUUUCAAGAUAGCAUGAUUAACUAACAAGCUAUUUAAGGAAAGUAAAUAAUUUAAGAAAAAAGGGAAUGCAGAAAGGAUAAAUAUGGAUAACUACUGAUUUUACCUUUCGGUGAGGGUUCAAUGUUUUAAGUCUUCUGAACAAGACUUCUCACCGUGUUCAUUCUUUCGGUGCAUCAUUUGAGUUAGGUGUGGACCUUGACAUCUGCACCUCUUGAUACGGUGUC
rnacentral:lncRNA from 1 species